rnacentral:lncRNA from 1 species
AAGAGAUUUAAUUGGCUCACAGUUCUGCAGGCUGUAAAGGAAACAGCAUUAUUUAUAUUUUUUCCAAAACUGCAAACACCAUGUAUUAGUCAGGGCUCUCUAGAGGGACAGAAUUAAUGGCAUAGAUGUAUAUAUAAAGGGGAGUUUAUGAAGUAUUAACUCACACGAUCACAAGGUCCCACAACAGGCCAUCUGCAAGCUGAGGAGCAAGGAGAGGGAAGAACUUGGGGUCGGAUGUUCAAGUGUAGGAAGCAUCUAACAUAGGAGAAAGAUGUAGGCUGGGAGACUAGGCCAGUCUCUCUUUUUCACAUCUUUCUGCCUGCUUAUAUUCUAGCCAUAGAGAAGGAAGGGGGAAGUGCCACAUGCCUUUAAACAACCAGAGCUGGAGAGAACUCAGAAUCACAAGAAUGGUGAAAGGGAAGUCUGCCCCCAUGGUCCAAUCACCUCCCACCAGGCCCAUCCCUCAAUACUGGGGAUGACAAUUCAACAUGAAAUUUGGGUGAGGCACAGAGUCAAACCAUAUCAGCUAUAUACAGCACAGAUGAAUUUCACAAACAAAGUUAACAGAGAGAAGCCAGACACAAAAAAGUGAAUACUGUAUUUUUCCAUUUAUAUAAAUUUCAGGCAACCUCAUUUAUGGUGUUAGAAAUAAUGGCUUUUCUUUCUGUGGAAUAAGGAGAUAUUGAUGAUUGAGAAAGGGCAUAAAAAGAAGUUUUUAAAAUAUGGUUAAAAUGUAUUCCUUAAUCUGGGUACUGGUUAAAUUGAUAGAAUCAUUUUGUCAUAAUUCACAAACUGUUCAUGUU